UACGGGGGGGGGCAAGCGUUGUUCGGAAUUACUGGGCGUAAAGGGCGCGUAGGCGGCCUUCUAAGUCGAACGUGAAAUCCCCGGGCUCAACCCGGGAACUGCGUCCGAUACUGGAAGGCUUGAAUCCGGGAGAGGGAUGUGGAAUUCCAGGUGUAGCGGUGAAAUGCGCAGAUAUCAGGAGAACACCAGUGGCGAAAGGCAGGCUCUCGUCGGGACGGU
rnacentral:rRNA from 1 species